rnacentral:rRNA from 1 species
AUUGAACGCUGGCGGUAGGCCUAACACAUGCAAGUCGAACGCGAAAGUCCUUCGGGAUGAGUAGAGUGGCGGACGGGUGAGUAACGCGUAGGAAUCUAUCCUGUAGUGGGGGAUAACGUUUCGAAAGGAACGCUAAUACCGCAUACGCCCCAAGGGGGAAAGCGGGGGAUCUUCGGACCUCGGGCUAUAGGCGGAGCCUGCGUCGGAUUAGCUAGUUGGUGAGGUAAAGGCUCACCAAGGCGACGAUCCGUAGCUGGUCUGAGAGGAUGAUCAGCCACACCGGAACUGAGACACGGUCCGGACUCCUACGGGAGGCAGCAGUGGGGAAUAUUGCGCAAUGGGCGAAAGCCUGACGCAGCCAUACCGCGUGUGUGAAGAAGGCCUUCGGGUUGUAAAGCACUUUCAGUGGGGAGGAAAAGCUGGUGGCUAAUAUCCAUCGGCCGUGACGCUACCCACAGAAGAAGCACCGGCUAAUUCCGUGCCAGCAGCCGCGGUAACAC